AUUGAACGCUGGCGGCAUGCCUUACACAUGCAAGUCGAACGGCAGCACGGGAGCAAUCCUGGUGGCGAGUGGCGAACGGGUGAGUAAUAUAUCGGAACGUGCCCAGUCGUGGGGAUAACGUAGCGAAAGCUACGCUAAUACCGCAUACGAUCUAUGGAUGAAAGCGGGGGAUCGCAAGACCUCGCGCGAUUGGAGCGGCCGAUAUCAGAUUAGGUAGUUGGUGAGGUAAAGGCUCACCAAGCCGACGAUCUGUAGCUGGUCUGAGAGGACGACCAGCCACACUGGGACUGAGACACGGCCCAGACUCCUACGGGAGGCAGCAGUGGGGAAUUUUUGGGACAAUGGGCGCAAGCCUGAUCCAGCAAUGCCGCGUGCAGGAUGAAGGCCUUCGGGUUGUAACUGCUUUUGUACGGUACGAAACGGUGAGCUCUAAUACAGUUUGCUAAUGACGGUACCGUAAGAAUAAGCACCGGCUAACUACGU
rnacentral:rRNA from 1 species